rnacentral:rRNA from 1 species
UACGUAGGGUGCAAGCGUUGUCCGGAUUUAUUGGGCGUAAAGAGCUCGUAGGCGGUCUGUCGCGUCGGAUGUGAAGACCCAGGGCUCAAUCCUGGGCCUGCAUUCGAUACGGGCAGACUAGAGUAUGGCAGGGGAGACUGGAAUUCCUGGUGUAGCGGUGAAAUGCGCAGAUAUCAGGAGGAACACCGGUGGCGAAGGCGGGUCUCUGGGCCAAAACUGACGCUGAGGAGCGAAAGCGUGGGGAGCGAACAGG